AUGUUAAAAAUAAAGUUUAUGGUUGUGAAUAAAAUUGAUUUCAAUAAUCUUUUUUAAUUAUUAUUUUAAAACAACUUUAUGUUGUUGUGUUUCACGCCAUAUUAUCAGACCACCUUAAGUGGGUCCGCCUUAAAUUUUGAGUUUGUGUGAUCGCUGUUGAUUGGUAGCUAAACUGCUGGUAAACUGUGUACAGACGUUUUACGUUCGAAUUGCAGAGAAAAAAAAAUUCUGGUAGCAACAUUGUGCAGUAUGAGCGAACAAUUUCACCAAAAAAAGGGGAAGCAAGGCAAGACGUGACGUGACUUCUGAUCAAAUUCGAACCUCCUCCUAAAGAAACAAAGAGCGACAUUACAUUGCGGGAUGACGUCACCUGAAAAUGACCAAUAGCGCGGCGCACUGCUGAGCUGUGUGCCAACCGCUCUUUUUUUCAUGCAGGAGACUCACGUUGGCUUCGCUAACGGACACAGUUUUGAACUCGUAUAUUAGCGCCAUUUAUUGCUGCUUGGACCACAGCAUCUUCGGAAUUUGUAGACAUCCUGGCAGCUUACAAUUAGUUCGAGGUGAGGUGAGUACAUGCAACUUCAAGUUAUCUCUGUUAUAAAAAUCCACCAGCCCAGCGUUUAUAGAUAAUUUUAGCAGUUCGUUUUUUAUGAGUGAGGUUGUGAAUUUAGUUAGCAUUUGUGAGUUGAGUUAGCAUUACUGUCGCGAGGGAAGCAUUGCUCUGGAUUAGUUUCUGCAUUGGCGUGCUUAAUUUGCUAGGGAGGAAUUACCAAAGUACAUGGAGUUAUGUUAACCUGUAAUUUCUGUGGUAAGGUAGUUCAGUCAUCAAGGGGCUACGUGCUUCAUUGUAAACUGCAUCGGAAUGAGCCACGUUGUUUCUUUCGGUGUAUUGAAGCAGGCUGCAAGCAGACAUACACCAGACACUGAAUUUGAGCAGAAACCAUAAGGAUACUCAAAGGACCUGCGACUCUCAGGAAAUGCAUCAAAUGAGAGGGACAGAUGAAACAGUUUCAAGACAAUGGCAGGAAAAACAUGCUGAAGAUUGAAACAAACCUUGGCUGGAAAUAUUUGAAGGUAUCUAGCCAGUCCACAAUGAAAGCUUCGUUGCACCCCAUGAGUCUUCUGGCAGAAAUGAUGGCGCCUGUAUUCUUUGGUUUCCCUAAACAUCACACCCUGCCUGUUUAUACGAGGCUCUUCAAUUAAGUCUGCACCCAAAGAUUCAAUAAGAGAGGGGAUCCUGCCAGUCCAAAGUGAACUCCUGAUGGACAUUGAAGUACUCCUGCAGAGCUUGUAUCUUCGACACCAUGCGCAUUAGAAACUCCACUGAGUCCUUUCCUUCACCAAGGCAGGACCCAGUGACUCAUUACUGUUGAUAGGUCAGGGGCAGGUAAUAUUUUGUUUCAUGUUUAUUCAUUCCUCCAUGGAUUACCAGCCAUAUAUAUGGACACAUGCUGUAUUCUCAAGAUCUAUGCUGUUUUGUAGGAAUAGAGAAAGUGAUAUGUUUAGUCUGUUUUCAAAUGGUAUGUCAAAUUUUCUCAUUGUUUAUCAGUAAUAUUCACUACCUUGGUUAUAUAUGAGCAUCUUUAGAUUUUUCUGUAUUUAGCGGUUGCAAAUGUAAAAUGUACGGUAAACCAUUUAUGUUCCUCAUAUUGUACUGUAUUUUUAGCGGUAAAAUACCGGCAGCUGUGGUUGCCAGGAAUUUACCGUAAAAUGUAUCUGGUCAAAAUAAAAUGCUGUAAUUUGUUAUACAA